GUCUGGCCUGCCCACUGAGUUUAUUAAUUUAAAGGGCCGCAGUAGCCUGACUGUGCGAAGGUAGCAUAAUCAAUAGCCCUUUAAUUGGGGGCUGGAAUGAAUGGUUGGACAAAGAGUAAGCUGUCUCUUCGAUAUCCUUUGAAUUUUACUUUUAAGUGAAAAGGCUUAAAUACCUUUGGGGGACGAUAAGACCCUAUAAAACUUUACAGUAAGGCUUAUGCUUUUUGAAUUGACGUGUAAAUUAAAGCAUGGCUGAUCUGUUAUGUUGGGGAGACACUAUCAUAAUAAGUAACUGUAAGUAGCACUGAAUAAUAAUAAUUAGUUUAAUUGAUCCUUUAUUAGAGAUUAUAAGAUUAAGUUACUUUAGGGAUAACAGCGUAAUUCUCUUUGAGAGUCCUUAUCGACAAGAGUAGUUGCGACCUCGAUGUUGAAUUAAGAUUUCCUUUUAGUGUAGCAGCUUUGGGGGUAGGUCUGUUCGACCUU
rnacentral:rRNA from 1 species